UCACAAAAUGAAGUCCAAUCGUCUCUUUCUCUUCUUGGUCGUUCUCUUUGCAUUUGUCCUCAUUUCGUCUGCAGGAAGAACACUCGAUACAACCUUCCAAUCGCAAAACGAGAAACCAAAAGGUGACGAUGUGGUUAAAGCAGAGAAAGUAGUUCAACCAGACAAAGCAGCCGGUUGUUGUGGUUGUUGGCGUUGUUGGCCACCAAAGCGUGGUCGUCGUCUCUGAUAAUCUAAGCUUCAGAGAUGGGUCAAUCGUUGUAUGUUGUUAUGCUACAAAUGUACUCACGAUUAUAUAAAUUAUAUGAUUAAAUAAUUCUCGUAUUUCACAUUA